ACGCUAGCUACAGGCUUAACACAUGCAAGUCGAGGGGCAGCAUCAUCAAAGCUUGCUUUGAUGGAUGGCGACCGGCGCACGGGUGAGUAACACGUAUCCAACCUGCCGACAACACUGGGAUAGCCUUUCGAAAGAAAGAUUAAUACCGGAUGGCAUAAUUAUUCCGCAUGGGAUAAUUAUUAAAGAAUUUCGGUUGUCGAUGGGGAUGCGUUCCAUUAGGCAGUUGGCGGGGUAACGGCCCACCAAACCUACGAUGGAUAGGGGUUCUGAGAGGAAGGUCCCCCACAUUGGAACUGAGACACGGUCCAAACUCCUACGGGAGGCAGCAGUGAGGAAUAUUGGUCAAUGGACGAGAGUCUGAACCAGCCAAGUAGCGUGAAGGAUGACUGCCCUAUGGGUUGUAAACUUCUUUUAUACGGGAAUAAAGUGAGCCACGUGUGGCUUUUUGUAUGUACCGUAUGAAUAAGGAUCGGCUAACUCCGUGCCAGCAGCCGCGGUAAUACGGAGGAUCCGAGCGUUAUCCGGAUUUAUUGGGUUUAAAGGGAGCGUAGGCGGGUUGUUAAGUCAGUUGUGAAAGUUUGCGGCUCAACCGUAAAAUUGCAGUUGAUACUGGCGACCUUGAGUGCAACAGAGGUAGGCGGAAUUCGUGGUGUAGCGGUGAAAUGCUUAGAUAUCACGAAGAACUCCGAUUGCGAAGGCAGCUUACUGGAUUGUAACUGACGCUGAUGCUCGAAAGUGUGGGUAUCAAACAGGAUUAGAUACCCUGGUAGUCCACACAGUAAACGAUGAAUACUCGCUGUUGGCGAUAUACAGUCAGCGGCCAAGCGAAAGCAUUAAGUAUUCCACCUGGGGAGUACGCCGGCAACGGUGAAACUCAAAGGAAUUGACGGGGGCCCGCACAAGCGGAGGAACAUGUGGUUUAAUUCGAUGAUACGCGAGGAACCUUACCCGGGCUUAAAUUGCAGAUGAAUUACGGUGAAAGCCGUAAGCCGCAAGGCAUCUGUGAAGGUGCUGCAUGGUUGUCGUCAGCUCGUGCCGUGAGGUGUCGGCUUAAGUGCCAUAACGAGCGCAACCCUUGUUGUCAGUUACUAACAGGUCAUGCUGAGGACUCUGACAAGACUGCCAUCGUAAGAUGUGAGGAAGGUGGGGAUGACGUCAAAUCAGCACGGCCCUUACGUCCGGGGCUACACACGUGUUACAAUGGGGGGUACAGAGGGCCGCUACCACGCGAGUGGAUGCCAAUCCCCAAAACCUCUCUCAGUUCGGACUGGAGUCUGCAACCCGACUCCACGAAGCUGGAUUCGCUAGUAAUCGCGCAUCAGCCACGGCGCGGUGAAUACGUUCCCGGGCCUUGUACACACCGCCCGUCAAGCCAUGGGAGCCGGGGGUAC
rnacentral:rRNA from 1 species